rnacentral:rRNA from 1 species
CCUACGGGAGGCAGCAGUGGGGAAUAUUGCGCAAUGGGCGAAAGCCUGACGCAGCGACGCCGCGUGAGGGAUGAAGGUCUUCGGAUCGUAAACCUCUGUCAGCAGGGAAGAACGGUCACUGUGCUAAUCAGCAGUGCAUUGACGGUACCCGCAAAGGAAGCACCGGCUAACUCCGUGCCAGCAGCCGCGGUAAUACGGAGGGUGCGAGCGGUAAUCGGAAUUACUGGGCGUAAAGCGCUCGUAGGCGGUAUGUCAAGUCAAGGGUGAAAUCCCCGCGCUCAACGUGGGAACUGCCUUUGAAACUGGCAAACUAGAGUGUGUGAGAGGAUAGUGGAAUUCCAGGUGUAGGAGUGAAAUCCGUAGAUAUCUGGAGGAACAUCAGUGGCGAAGGCGACUAUCUGGCACAUAACUGACGCUGAGGAGCGAAAGCGUGGGUAGCAAACAGGAUUAGAUACCCUUGUAGUC